GGUAUUGCGUCAGUGUUUCAUAGCUUUUCAUUAUUUGGGACAAGAGUAUUAUUGUACUGAUAAGGUCUUCCCAUUGAUAAGAACACAAUCUGGUACUAUUCCAAGGCUUUUCCACCAUCAAAUGUUGAUCUUAGAGCCUAUAUUUAUCAAACAAACAUACAAAAUAGCAAUUAAAUAUCAAUAAAAACAUUCCAUCUCUCUACCUCACUCGUUUUUCUCACUAACCACAGAACCUUCUCAUUCAUUAUUCUGACAAAUCGUAUACCCAUCACAAAUUCUUCUCAAUUGAACUCGUUUUUCACCUCACUUUUCACUCGUUCUCACUUCCUCACUCACCAUCUUAAUCCAUCUUUCCAUCAAACUCACGACUGUUGAAGAAGUGAUUGUUACUGCGAGUUUGAUGUAUAAGCACAUCCUUCCCACAAACACCCUCAGCCUCAAUUACUUGCUACUGUUAAGUCUGUAGCACAUAUGAAUCAGCAUGUGGUUCAUAUGAUUAUUGUGAUAGAGCUACCCAUGGAUUUGCUCAAGAAGCCUACUGCUGAUAGUUUUGAAGUACUUGUUGGUUUUGUCACGUAGAGGACUCCAUGCUGAGUAUUUAUUCCCUUUAACUAUAUAGUUAUCAUGUGUUUAGUGCUUUGUAGAUAUGAACAUGCCUUUUUCUACGGUCUUCAUUUUGAGUAUUUAUUAUACUUAUGAAUCCUAGCUUUUAUUUUUCUUCAGUGUUCAUGAAAACAUGGUAAAUAUAGGUGAAUGGGGUAAAUAAGACAAAGGUAUUGAACUAUAAAAUUACUAGAAGAUAUGAGGUGUCUUGAACUAUAUAUAGAUUUUACUUAGUCUAUGGAAAAUUAAUGCAUGUACAAUGUAUGUGGCACAACUCUAAGGGUAGACCAAGAAUUUUGGUAAGCUUGUUUAUCACACUACUAAGAAGAGAGCUAGUCGACCUCAAGGUAUAUUACCCAUUUGGUUUUGAUUUUAUGUUGUUGAAAUGAAGGGUAUCUUAGAGUGUUCAAAUUUGGUUGGUUGCUUGGAGGAGUUAUCUACUUAUACUUUUAAUAUUUGAGAAGAAUGUUUUUGAUUUUUUGUAUUCUAUGAGUAGAAUAUGGAUACUUGGCUUUUAAAACAACUUUGCCACUAAAAGUCAUUGACUCAUGUAGAGAAGUUAAAUGAGCGUUAAUGGAAAUGUUUGCUAGAAAAAAAGCUAAUUUUAGCUUA